GCGGAAUUUUUCACUAUUGGCGCAAGCCUGCCGGAGCAAGACCGCGUGGGUGAAGAAGGCUCUUGGGUUGUAAACCCCUUUUCUUUGGGAAGAACAAAAUGACGGUACCAGAGGAAUCAGCAUCGGCUAACUUCGUUCCAGCACACCGCGGUAAGACGGAGGAUGCNAGCGUUAUCUUAUNAUGAUUGGGCGUAAAGCGUCCGCAGGUAGCAGUUCAAGUAAGUUGUCAAAGACCGGGGCUUAAUCUCCGAAAGCCAGUGGAAAAUUAACAGCUAGAUUAUGCGUAUGGGGCAAAGCGGAAUUCCUGGUGUAGUGGGUGAGA
rnacentral:rRNA from 1 species